AAAAUACAAACUAAACAGAAACACAUAUGAAUUUAUUCCAUUUCUAAAGGUACAAAAUUUAACUGAAGCUUAACAACAGCAACAAAACGAUAAAACUAAUUAUAAUGAAUAUUGUAGCUGAGUCUGCAUCAUUCAACUCACCCUUUUGGAAGAGCUUCAAUGCAAUGUGGAAAAACCUCCCUUCAGAAGAUACUGGGACUGUAAUACAGAUAUGAUGUUGUGACAAGGCCCAUGCCACAUGGAGAGGCCAUGUAUACAGAGGUGUUCUGGCUAAAAGACCUAGGAUCAACCCCCAGUAACCUACUACCAGUUACCCAAGCUCCGCUGCUGUGAAGAAUACAGCUCAUGCACAGGAAGGACUAACUGAAGGAACUUGGUCCAAAAAGCUUCACAGAGUGUCGUCUGAGGUGGGCUCCAAUCCUAGAGGUGAAUAUCAGAAA